rnacentral:rRNA from 1 species
GACGAACGCUGGCGGCGUGCCUAACACAUGCAAGUCGAGCGGAGACAGUAGCAAUAUUGUCUUAGCGGCGGACGGGUGAGUAACGCGUGGGCAACCUGCCUAUCACAGGGGGAUAACACAGGGAAACUUGUGCUAAUACCGCAUAAAGCAGCGAGGAAGCAUUUCCUUGCUGCCAAAGGAGCAAUCCGGUGACAGAUGGGCCCGCGUCCAAUUAGCUAGUUGGUGAUGUAACGGACCACCAAGGCGACGAUUGGUAGCCGAACUGAGAGGUUGAUCGGCCACAUUGGGACUGAGACACGGCCCAGACUCCUACGGGAGGCAGCAGUGGGGAAUAGUGCACAAUGGGGGAAACCCUGAUGCAGCAACGCCGCGUGAAGGAUGAAGGUUUUCGGAUUGUAAACUUCUUUAGUCAGGGACGAAUAAAUGACGGUACCUGAAGAAUAAGCCACGGCUAACUACGUGCCAGCCGCCGCAGUAA